GGUUGGCAACAUGGCAACGCUGUCUGCUAGUCAAAAGACUCAAAAGUCAAAAUAUAUCUUUAAAAGAUAUUUUUAAAACAUAUAUUUAAAAGAUAUAUAUUUAUAUUCAAAUAAAAAUAAGAUAAUCUUUUAUUUCUGUUCUGUGUUAUGUUUCAUACAUAGAGUUUCAUAUCUUUCGUUAUGAGUGUUUUAAGCGGUUGUGUAAGAUUCUUUACUGUUACUCCACUUCUGUUUACUAAUUCUAAUGCCAAGAAUAUUAAUUUCCAUCGAAUUAAUAAUUCAGUAGUAUUACUUAAAAGGGGUUACAAGAAUUUUGGUCAUAAACCUGAUAAGGAACCAACCCUUACCAAAGUCUAUUGUGUAUUUUUAAUAUCGGUCUUUCUUUUUUCAAUACUCGAUUGGAAAUGGAUAAUUACAUGGACUACAGCUAAUUGGAAGCACAAGUACAGAACUCCAAAAGUAAAUGAUGAUUAGAAUAAUUGGUUGAAUGAAGUCUGGAUUCAUUUACCAAGACAAUUAGUACAAAUACCUACACUGUAUAUGGACAUAUUAUUUGUUUCAUUGGGGAGAGAAUGCAAUCUAAAAACUGCAGCACUUGGGCUAGAUUGUGCAUUCUCAUCUUAAAAACUUGCAUCGCCAAGCCAUCAAUAAACGUAAUUUGGAAAGAAGUUUGGGAAGAUAUAGCAAUUUUACUCAGAGAUGUAUUGUAAAAUGGCAACAGUAAACCAGACUUCACCCCGAAUGCCCGAAGAGGCUCUCUAACAGAGCCGGACUUUCAUAUAAAACCUAAAAUGCAAUCAUCCCAUUUUUAUUAGGGUUUCAAUAUGUCUGGUUUUAAUCAGACAUGUUUGGGUUUUUAUGGUAUCCAGGGUUUGUAUUUCCAUAAUAUACCAUGUAGAGAACAUAGGGUCUGUAAGCCCCGCCCCCCAAGCUUAGCUUAGCCAUAAAGAUGUCUCUACGUGGUAUAGAAUGGAAUUGGGAAAUGGUGCCAAUAUCGGGUAUUGUUCGUAGUCGCAUUACUGGCGUAAUAUUUUUUUAGUACGUAAACCGCCGAGUAGCGACAGAAACCGUCGGCUCUUUUGAUGUGGUGGGACCAGAGAGAAACUAAUAACUAAAGUGAGAGGGCUUGUGGAAUAGGGCAUUUCGUAGACAAGUUUAUUUUGUCACCGCGCUACCCAGACCCGUUUAGGCGGUCAAAAAAGGAAGAUUUCAACUUUGCAAGUUAAACAUUUGACAGGAUUAGAUUGUCAGUAGCUUUUUCUAUUUCUUAGCUCUAGAAGGAGAUAACUAAAAUCUGU
rnacentral:lncRNA from 1 species